AAUAUCAUGAUCUAGAUUGGUUUUUGACAUUUAGGAUUUCGUGCCCUUUUGGAACCCUAUUCAUUCCAAUCUUACUUCGAAGCCACACUCCAUUAGUUUCUUAUACAAACAUACAUACUUUGUGAAUUACAGUGAAUGGGGUAAGUAUCAAAUAAUGACGAGUACUGCAUGGAAACCAGUUUCUUGUUCAAUGACGCUCAAUAAAUGCAUUAUUUCUUAAACCUGUAGCAAGUAAGUAAUGAUGCGAAUUGUGUUACGUGCUUAACUGGGAUUUCCUUCCAGGAUGAGGUUAGUUGGCUUAAUCUGUAUAGAGGUUCUCACCAAGUAAGGAAAAAGUGGUAUUUUUCCUGGUUGACGAGUUAAUAAGUAAGAAAGGAGUAAGGAUUGAGAAAUUCACUAGUGAUCCAUUUAUUCUUAAUUAAUUAUUUGGCCUGUAUGCAGGUAAGACAUGAAUGAGCCAGGUAGUCGUUAAGGUAGGGAAGAAGAAGAAGAGUUAAUAAGGAUGGGAAAUUAUCCAUGAGUAAUCAAUCAUUAUCAUCUCAACUAAUUUUUACGUAUCAGGGUUGUAAAGGUUAUAAAAUUGUGCAUCCUGGCUUUACAACAGUUAUGUAUGUAUGUAUAAACCACUAAAUUUUGUUAAUUUUUCUUUCGAAAACCUUCCAGAAGUUUGGGACCUGUCGGUAAAAAUGUGAUCCAUUAAGGUUAUCCAUAUGGAUGUAAUUAUUUGCUUAUGCAAUUUGGGGGUAUGUACACGUGGAUUUAUAUGUACAUAAUGGAUUUACCUAUUUAUGAUCACCUGAUUUAUGACGCUAAACAGGAUAAAAAUAUUUUCCAGAAAAUUCAUUCAUUCAUGUAAGGAAGGUAGAUGAACAAGUAAAGUGGAAACAUUAAAGUCAAGUGCUGUCCAAGUUUUAAAAAUAUGUAUGUGGGAAAAUAUGCAGCAUAUUUUCAUGGAUUAUUUAUGUUGGGUACUAAUCAUCUGAAAAUCAUGAUAGCAAAUCUCAUUCUUAGCUAAUAACUGGAUAUGAAAUUAAAUCUCAUUAGUUAUGUAGCAUUCUUAAAAAUAAUGUUACCCUCUUGAGAACUAAAUUCAAUAUUAAGUAAGCAAAACAAAACGUGACUUUUAUCAAGUUAACGUUACUCCGAAUUUACUAUAUGUAACUUUCGUAAUAUAUAUAUUUUGAACUCGGAGUGCAUUUAUUUUUCACAAAGAUAGCAUCAUUUUCAAGAGCGUAUUGUACAUAUCUAUCUAACCAAAAAUAUGUUGUUAAUUGUGUACUCACAUAUGUAUGUAUGCAUGUAACCUUUUCUGACACGACCUUUCCACACGUUUACCCUUGCGAAAGGUGAGCCAUAAAAUUCUUGCUGUCAAUUCACCCAUAAUUUAGUAGGGAUUAGAGAUGCAAUCAACUCGUCAAUCUUAAUAUGAGACCCACGGAUGCAUAAAUUACUUAUAUCCACAUAAACACCUCGGGGAGUCAUAUCUCGGCACAAAAUCGCCCAUAAAACCAGUGCCACGAUGAGAUUGCUGACACACUACGAUUGUACUUAACCCAAACUUUAACUGAUGUUUUAUCACAUCACAUUACACAAACAAAGGAAUUCUCAACGCGCUGUUAUGCAUGGAGAGUUGUGAGAAUUUUUAGUAAACUUUGUGAUGAUUCUCCAUACCAGAGAGAAUUCCAACUUGGCAAAAAAGAAAUCCUCGUCAACAAACAAUAAUAUUUGCACUUGGCAUGUUCAACUGUGAGCACAUUGUUUGUUGAAUUCAUCAUGAAGUCGUCGUUUCUCUUUGGCUGGAUAAUCCUCUUUUUGCUGGUUUCCUUCUCUGGUCAGGCAUGGAGUCAAGGUUUUAUUGGAAGUCAUCGCUACGUCCAGCUGCCACUUCCUGGUCAGACUGAACAGACGCAACCCGCAGCGUGGCAGUGGAGUCAGGGAAGACGACAGGAUUACUCGAAAGUUCCUCGCCUCGUGCCGCACAUUUGUCCAGCCGGAUAUGUUUCAGCGUAUCAUGGUUGCGUGAAAUAUCCCAAAAAGUAACCUGCAAAGAAUUGAGCACCAGGAAGCCACCAUUUACACAAUUACAAAAACAAUUACUGUAAAUACUCUAUUUAUAGCCGUGUCUAACAACAGCACAGAUUCGUCUGCAAUUACAAACCGGGUAUAAUUGGGGACCCGGGUAAACUUUUAUUUCGGUCAAACUUGAAGUAUCUAAGAAAAUGCAUUAAACGAAUGCCACAAUUAGAGACAAGCUUAUUGAAUUUUUCCAGCUUGGGCUCAAGACCCAGCUAUAAAUCGAAUAUUUACGGUAUCUAAGAAAUGUCAUUACAUACACUUUUAAAUUCGUUGCGUACACUGUGCAUUAAGAUUUACACAGUUACUUAAAGAUGUACAUACAUAUUUAUGUUACAUAUAACAUUGAGGUAAUUUACGCAGGCCUUUGUAACAUCGUAAAAUUCAUAAAUUUAUAAACCCUUACAUAAUUUUACAUACAUUUCGGGGAAGAUUAUGUAGCCUAAAAAUUUGUGUAACCUUGCUCAGAUCAAGAAUGUCUUUUUAUUUUGUAAAUAAAGGUUUGUAAAAUUAUUUUACAAAACGCACGGAUGUUACAAGUAAUCCGUGAAUUGUUGUUUAUGUAAAAGUAUGUAAAAAUGUCGAAACUAGUUUAUGGAAACUGGCACGGAUAAAUAGAAGAAUUAAUCUUUUAUAAAUAAAUAAAUUUUGUUCUGAAAUUAAAAACAGUUGUUUCUAAAUUGGGUUCACUGAUAUUCAAGAAUUGGAUUUAUUUGUUGCAACUUUUAUUCGAUUACAAUUAAACUUUUUGGAAAGUUUAAUCAAGCAGGAAUUAAUUACGUUUUUGUUUAGGAACAUCUUAAAAGUGAAGUAAAUAGAUACCUAUAGAUUUAUUAAAUUGGAUUGAGAGACAGCGAAAAAUAAACUUGGAAAUGAACAAUCCUAAAUAAAUAAGUAAAUAGGUAUUACUGUAAUCUUAUUUGUUUAACUUAAUUGAAACAAGCUAUCUGAUGCACUCUAAAAUAUAAUAACACCGUUUUCAACGGUACUAUUAAAUGCACUCUGAAUUCUACGUUAAGCAAACUAUGAUAAAUCCAGAUUACACUUUACCCAGUUAAAGUUAUUCUGGAUUUUGUGAACUUUUAAAAAUCUGGUAGGGUGACAUAUGUACAUGUAAAUAUACUCGGUACUGAUGUUGAUAUGGUAAUAAUUUCUUACCGGAUUGGUAGUAGUUAAGUAAGAGUAACUCCGUAAGAGUUUAUUAAAUAAAGAAUAGAGAGUGCGUCUGCAUACUACUGUAAAGCUUAACAUUAUUCUUAAGAGUGCUUGUCAUGAAAUAUGUAAAUUUUAAUAUGUAACUUUGUAUGAAUUAAACUACAUCCAGAAAUAGAAGCGUUUUAACUUUAA